GGGCCGGUAACUCAGCCAGGCAGAGUACCAGCCUUUUAAGCUGGGAGUCGUAGGUUCGAAUCCUACCCGGCCCA
rfam:Thermodesulfobacterium geofontis OPF15, complete genome.